rnacentral:lncRNA from 1 species
UCAAGUUUGUUCACGAGGCUGAGACUCGUAUGAAUAAUCACAAUUUCUUGUUUAAUAGAUUCAGAGGCAUUCCUGAUUUUUAUCAGCUGCAAAGGUGGAGAGUAAGUUACUCAAUAUUUAAUUAUUUUCUUUCAAUUAAUACAAAUUUGUGUAUGCACAUUCAGUAUUUCAUUAGCAGAGUUCUGCCAACACCUAUCAUUUACCUUGCUUAUAGAAAGAGCCUAAAAGAAACUUUGUGGUGAUGUCUGUGGACAAAGCAGUUACCCUCAUUCUUAUCCUUAUCAAAGAAGUGUUCAUUUCAAAAUUAAAAAAACAACCUCUAAUGUAUUUUUACGGUGGACUUUAUCACACAAUGUGAAUAUUUUUAGAGGGGGAGUUACAAAGGCCAAUUAAUCAGCGUAUCUACCCUCUUACAGCAUUUACAGGCAUUACAAAUUGCAAUAUAGCAAUUAUCAGUUCAUUUCAGUAAGAGAGAGUACGACAAAUUUAACAACAAACACAGAAAAAAUAAUGAACAAAACAGUUAAAAACAAGGGCACAAAAAUCUGAGAAAGACACCUUAGAUACAAAACAUGGAAAACACUAAACAAAUGAGAACAAGUUCAGGCACCAUGGAGGUCACUCUAAAAACAUCACAUAAGUAAUAAAAGAGCAUUUAAACAGGACAUCCACUUAAGACCCAACACAGAGUAACACUUACACCAGGAAUAUGUUCUACAGGUUAUAAGCUGUGAUAUUAAAUCUAUGUUUACAGAGUUAAAAUGCAUUAAAGCUUUUUCUUCCAGUUUGUUUUUAAAGCUGUCAAGAGAUUUAAGAGAUUUGCAGUUCUUAUUUAAAGUUCUUCACGGUGUCCCCCCUGAGUUGUGCCUUUCAUACAGUUUAGUUUUCCAUGAGACUUGCUUUGUAUUUUUUUUUUGGAAGGGAUGACACAAUUUACGCUCGGCUAUUGACUGUGUCUUGUUUGUCUGGUCCUACCCACUCCUCAGUGUUGGACACACACACAAUGAUGGUCACAGGUGUCUGUCGUUUAAAAUCACACCUCAAAACUGGUCUUAGGUAUAAAAAAAGAGAAAAGAAAUUCUCUGUAUGUUUGAGGCAAUUUGUUUGUAAAGUUCCCACGCUGACACCAGCAUUUCAGUACCAUAUAGGAGGGGCCCAGCAUAUUGUGUGUGGUAGACUUUUAGGUUAGUGUGGGUACCUUGGGUUUGAGCCGAACCAUGUUCCUAUGCAACAGCACCAAACUGAAAGUGUUGACUAAAGCAGUUUGGUACCGAUGUUUACUUUGACAUCCCCAUCUCUCAACAUAGGUAAUUCUAGUGCAACAGCAUUUCAUAAACUAUGCAGGAAAAGCUUUGUGGAUUAAUUUAGGGUAUAACAUUUGAUGAUUUGUAAGAAAAAAAAAAGGAAAAAUAAGGUUUGUUGAUAGAGGUCAAGGACCGAAACAUUGCUAAUAAAUGUGUUUUAUGCCAGUUGGACAGGGUGCUGGAGUUUCCCCCUUUUUUGGAUGGAUGUAUUUGACACCACCAAGCUCCGCCUUCUCCUGGCACUCAGUUAAAAGCAUCGUCAAAGCAUUUCAGAUUGGGGUCAUUUAUUCUGUGCCACAUAAGAAACAAAUCAGCUCCCAAAAAUCUGUGAACAAGAAGAAUUUCAUUAUAGAAGCAAGGGUCAUGAUCAUCACCACUGAAGGGAAUGUGCAUUCCUGCAGUCCUUACACCCGUGUGCGAACUAGGACUAAGUCCUGCUUUGGCCAGACACAUUCCCAUGUAAACAUCAUCAAUGGGAAGAAGAGGGAUGGACUUGGACAUGUUGUAUAUGACUGAAGCAGUGUAACCAGACAGUAUGAAGCCCCCACCACCACAGUAGGGAGGAUACUGGUCUGACUUCUGCACCUGAACUGGGACAUAAUACUUGCUCCCUGAAUCUCUAAUAGGCCCAACAUACUGGAUCAGAUGGCCAGUAAAAAGGUGCUUGUUUCCAUCAUUGUCCUCAAGACUUUGGAAAUACUUGACCACAUUGUUUGUGUUCACAAAAACAUCAUCAUCACCAUUAAACAGGAAAAAGGCUUUUGGACAGUUUCUUUCAAACCACUCCAGGAAGAUUACCUGCUUCAAUGUGAGGUUGAAGAAUGUGUCGGCAAAGUCCCACUGAAGUAUGUCUUUGUACUGACUGUGCUCCAGCUCAAGAACUUUGUUCAGUCUUUUUUUCCUAAAACCAGAGCCUGUUGUUCCUGUGAUGAAGAGCCGUCUGAUCCACCCACCACUCUGUAUCCUCUCUUUGGCCCAGGUCUUACGGAGCAUUUCUCUGCGAUCAUGUUUUUCUGGUGAACUUUUGAUGACCAACAGAAGGAAGACUUCAGAGGAUCGAUCAGCUCCUCCACAUUUGUUUGGAAGGUCCAAGAGCAAGGGAAAAUGUCGACAGUGUUGAUAGUACAGGAAGUCUUGGAUAUGACCAGGAAGUGAGCCGAAGUUUUGAAUGCUGGAAGCAGACGUGUUUCGUGUACAGGUUUGCGAAGAGAACAGAGAGGGGCUACUUAGAGUGAGAGGUGAUAUUGGUCUGCUAUCCAUUCUGACAUUAACAUGGUGGACUUUGUGGUCAUAAGAGUUAAUGUAGAGAUAAACAAUGAUGAGAACUCCCAGAAGCAGGAAAAUCUUUGUUCUGUUGACUCUUCUCUUUGAAAACCUGUUGUCACAAAAAAAGGGUAAAGUUUCUUUUUACAGACUUAUCUCAGUCAAAUUUGAUAUUUCAAAGAUUAUUAUCAAAGUGCUUAGGGUUUAUGGUCAUAAUUAAGAUGUGCACACAGUGGCCCUCGUUUAUUAAAUGAAACGUACAGCAGAAAACUGUCCGUACAACCAUUUCCAAGCAAGAAUUGGC